GUUUAAUCCCGUGAGCAAGCUUGAGAGACCGCGAAACCAGCCGCACGACUUGAUUCAUCUUCUUCUUCCACACUGAAUCCAUGAAUCUUCUCCUUCCUUCUUUGAUACAUCUAUGGAUAUUUGAGAUUUUCAAUCGAAGUGAAGGACUGCUUUGUGAAUCUUCGAUCCCGACGUUUUCUAUUCUCAUCUAAUCAAUGGAAACGUUUCGCCUAAGGCGGUGCCUCUACUCCUAUAAAAAAUUUGAAAUCAGGCAGAUGUUCUUCCACCUUGGAGCUGAUUUGGAUGUCAGAGCAACCAACGUGAGAAAUGUAAGCAGCUUAUCAUCUGCUCAAAUACUACUUAAUUUUAAAUUAAACUAAGUUCAUGUAACCCAGUAUUUCAUGAUCUUUCUAUGUCGAAUAAGAAGAAGGCUAAGGUUCUUUAAUAUAUUCUCAAGAGUAGGGUUUGGUUGCUGAGAUGACAACAAGAAAAUAUCGGAAGCAACAUAGGUUCUGGUUCAGCGAUUGGGUCAGUUGAAAGCAAAAAAAGAAACUAUUGUAGAAACAGAAGAAAGAAGAAAAUCCAAAAGCUAAAGCCAUGAAGAUUAUCUCUGAAAUGGAAUCUUAAUCAAAUGACAGUGAUUGUGGCAUAGGAAAAGUUGUUGCCAUGAGCUCUUUCAGAAAUAAGGCUAAACGGAUUCUCGAGUUGUUACAGCCAUAAUCUGGAGUAGAAAGCUUCCUAGAAUGUAAGAAUACCGAUAAAGCAUUGAAGCUUGCUCUACUGUAGUCAGCUGCUGCAUCGAUAGCCUUUUGCUCAAUUGUUAAUCCUGGACAGAUACUGAAGAAUGUAGAAGUAGUUUCAGUUGUUUGAUUGCCCCUGAAAAGAGUAGAAGUUUGUAUUGGAAGAAAGUACAAGAAGUAAGUAAGAGUUACAUAAGUUUCAGAAGGCAAUGACGGUCAUGGAAGGGUCUGUUGUGGCUUGCAGGUGCUUGGGAAAGUGAUGAUAUUGUCAAAAUGAUAAAUUACUAAACGAGUCUAAUCUGAUGACUUUCUGUUAACACCUUCCAAGUCCGUUUGUAUUGGAGUUGAGCUGUGGAAAGGAAACUAUUGUGGUGAAAGGAUACUUUAACUAUCUAUAUAAUACGCUCUGAUCUUCCUCUCUCUCCCUCUGGACUGUCAGAAUCUGUACCAAUUUUUUUCUCUGUUGCUAAUGAUAGAACUCAAAGCAAAAUGAAAUUAAGAUGGUAUUUUAAAAAUGUAGAACCUAAACCGACAGGGUU